UUGAAUAAGUAACGACUAACUAUGUGCCAGCAGUCGCGGUAAUACAUAGGUUGCAAGCGUUAUCCGGAUUUAUUGGGCGUAAAACAAGCGCAGGCGGAUUAGAAAGUCUGGUGUUAAAAGCAAUUGCUUAACGAUUGUAUGCAUUGGAAACUUCUAGUCUAGAGUUUGGUAGAGAGUCCUGGAACUCCAUGUGGAGCGGUGAAAUGCGUAGAUAUAUGGAAGAACACCAGAGGCGAAGGCGAGGACUUGGGCCAAUACUGACGCUUAGGCUUGAAAGUGUGGGGAGCAAAUAGGAUUAGAUACCCUAGUAGUCCACACUGUAAACGAUGGAUGUUAAGUGUCGGAGCGAAUACUUCGGUGCUGCAGUUAACACAUUAAACAUCCUGCCUGAGUAGUACAUUCGCAAGAAUGAAACUCAAACGGAAUUGACGGGGACCCGCACAAGUGGUGGAGCAUGUUGCUUAAUUCGACGGUACACGAAAAACCUUACCUAGACUUGACAUCUUGGGCGAAGCUAUAGAAAUAUAGUGGAGGUCAACCCAAUGACAGGUGGUGCAUGGUUGUCGUCAGCUCGUGUCGUGAGAUGUUGGGUUAAGUCCCGCAACGAGCGCAACCCUUAUCGUUAGUUACUUUGUCUAACGAGACUGCCAACGUAAGUUGGAGGAAGGUGGGGAUGACGUCAAAUCAUCAUGCCCCUUAUGUCUAGGGCUGCAAACGUGCUACAAUGGCCAAUACAA
rnacentral:rRNA from 1 species